rnacentral:lncRNA from 1 species
UUGUUUCCGAUUGGCUGCCCGGACUUCUCGCGGCUAAACUAACUUUGGCUCCAAGGCGGCGUGAAGAGUGUGAUUCUGUUCAGCGACCGUGAUUCUGUUCAGCGACCAUGAUGUUGAGCCCCUAAUUGAGAGUCUGUUACCACUAUUAAUAGCUACUCUGUUCGGGCCCUACACAUAACGGUGUAUCUAAACCUCUCUACAAUUUUAUGGCUAGAAGAAUUGAAUUCUUCCAUGUAUCCUUUGCCAACUGUCAGUAGUGAAGUUUACAAUUUAUAAUUUCUG